UGCUGGUAAGGUUCUGAGAAGGGAGACUCCUUUCGGGGUUACACAGGCUCUCCUACCCAACUCCUAUUCCGUGCCGUUCCUCGUCGUGCAGAGUGGUAGCUUUCCCCACCACAUAUCCAAGCUUGGGUACGUGGGCCUGUCCCAACCCCUUGGGCGGAUGGUGGAGAAAGGCUAAACAUAUUUUU
rnacentral:ribozyme from 1 species